rnacentral:rRNA from 1 species
GUCUACAGCCAUGCCACCCUGAACAAGCCCGAUCCUGUCUGAUCUCAGAAGCUAAGGUGGGGCCUGGUUAGUACUUGGAUGGGAGACCACCUAGGAAGACUAGAUGCUGUAGGUG